CUCAUUUCAGAAAGAAGUACAAGCGAACAGAUGACACAUUAAAGUGGCAGCAGAAGCUUGAAAAGUUAAAUAGAGCAGGGGCAGUCAAAACAGUGGGAUAAUACUUCUAUAGGGUCCAACAUGUCUAGUAAGGCUGACAGAAGUGAAAGAUGGUCUGAUGGUACAAUGAUGUACAAAUGAUACUCUUUAACAAGUUGAACAUGUCAAGGUGUAAAAUGUUCUGUGGAUUCAUAUGAUGAGAAUGCCAGUGUUGAUCUGUAUGACUUAAUUAAACACAGAUAUUGAUACCUUCAGAUAUAUACCUGUGAAAUCUUCAGUGUCACCGUUCAGCUAUUGUUCAAGAUCAGUGUCUGCAGCUUGCACAGUUUAGUAUAGAGGAGCCUUCUGAAUCAACUUUGUUACAUAUUUGCUGUUAUUGUAGGACACGCAUGUAGAGAGCAGCAAGUCCUGUUCAGCCGUGCAUGUAAAUGUGAUUCAGAAACUUUGAGAAUAUGUAAACAUUACACUGUUAUAAUUUUCAAAAUACUGUGUCUUGUAGUGUAUCAGUACUGUUUUGUCUCAGUUUAUAGCACAGUAUGUUCACAAUCAAACAUAAGACCAU